rnacentral:lncRNA from 1 species
ACAUGUGCAAGGUAUUUGCAUAUAGCAUACGUACCCUGAAUCACAUCUAGAUUGGUUUCGGCAUCCUGCUGGGUGAGCGUGUGAACUCUGUCCUAGACCACUAGCCUAGGCUGAUUAUGAUUCUUCGGGCAUUUCCUCACGUAAUGUUGACACACUCGCAUAUGCAACAAGUGUUGUUGAGACGAUAACAGGGUCGGUCUCUAUGAUUCUUACCACAGUACUGACAAAUCUUACUGCGUCCUGCUAUCAGAGCCUGGGAAGGAGCCUGAGGUGUGGGCCUUGGUCUCUUGUUCUGUUGGUUCAGUGCUGUAGGUGCUGGUCUGUGAUGCGAGACUGAGAGCUUGGAGUUGUCCAUUAUUGAGAAAAAAAUACCUCUCAAUCAACUGUGCCUUAGCCAAGACUGCUAAAUAAGUGCUGUUGUCUGCUCUUAGGACAAAGACCCCAUUCAAACUGUCUUCCUGCCUUCAUCUGUCAUGCUCUCAGAGAGUACCGACCUAACUCUCGAAACUUCUGACCGUACUUUGAUACUAACAAAUCUACUUGAACUAAGUGCGCAAACUCCAUUUCUUUCAAAUAUCGGAGAUAUUCCGAAAGGUAUUCAGCAUUGAAGGCUGCCAAAAACUGUUCCUAAAUGAUUGGAGUGGGUAGAGUAGUCUGCUUAAGUUGCUACCAACGCCCUGCCUCACCCACAAACAUAUAUAUGGUAAGGACAACCUUCUGUUCGGAAAUCACCCCAAGUGUUAUGAAGACAUUCUCUGUCUCUACUAACCAGUACUUAGCUUUCUCAAAAGCGGAUGCUCCUGUAAAAGUAAAUGAGUUAAGUCUCUUGUACCUCUCGAUGUAACACGGGUCCAUUGUAGGUAGAGCUAGAUCAUGCUAGAGAGGAAUUAAAUUAUGCUGGGAAGGAACUGGGUGACCUUGUGGCAGCACCGGGUUAUAUAGUGGAGGCACUGGAUUGUAUUGCAGUGAUGUCAGAUGGUACUGUGGAGGAACUGAGUUGUACCGUAGGGGUACUGGAUACUUUCGAUGUGGAGGUGACUUAUAUUGUGGUAGGGGUGGAGGGGGAUCAAACAACUCACUUCUCUCCUCCCUGGCUUGCUGGGCAGAAAUCGGUCUCUCAAGCAUCUCGAAGAGCUGAUCCACAUCCUUCCGAAGUGAUCCCUCCCGGGCUGCACUAUUUAGCGGGGGCCUUCAUCUCCUCAUGUUUCUUUACCUUUUCAUAACAAUGGUUUGAGAUUCGGGUUGUAUGGUUUACUUUAACCUUAUGUACAAAGAAUGAUUUUGAAGUUUAAAC